rnacentral:rRNA from 1 species
CAGUCGCCGCGGUAAUACGGAGGGUGCAAGCGUUAGUCGGAAUUACUGGGCGUAAAGCGUGCGUAGGCGGUUCGUUAAGUCUGUUGUGAAAGCCCCGGGCUCAACCUGGGAAUGGCAAUGGAUACUGGCGAGCUAGAGUGUGUCAGAGGAUGGUGGAAUUCCCGGUGUAGCGGUGAAAUGCGUAGAGAUCGGGAGGAACAUCAGUGGCGAAGGCGGCCAUCUGGGACAACACUGACGCUGAGGCACGAAAGCGUGGGGAGCAAACAGGAUUAGAUACCCCGGUUGUCCCUGUCUCUUAUAC